UGUUGUAAAGUUUGCCACCAUUGGGA
rnacentral:piRNA from 1 species